CAGCAUUUGGCACUGAGGUGGUUUCUCACACCUCAGUCAACUGCAGGCUGGAGCUGCUGUGAGGAUUUUGCUGUUGUUGGAGAAAAUCUUCCCCAAUCCUGCCUGGGAUGUGGGACAGAAGAACUGAGGAUGGGGAAUUGUGGCUCACUGUAAAACUUCUCAGCUAGGAUCCUUUGAAAGUCCUGUUGCACAUUCAGUCCUGGAGAUUCUCCAUCAGCUCCUGUAUCUGUAUUUCAGCACAAAUGCAUCUGGGAUGGAUCCAGGAUCCUGGUCUGUCAGGAGCUCAGCAGCAUCCAUGAGCUUCAGGCUGACAAACAGAGGUACAGAUGGGGUCAGAUGCCCCAAAAUACCCCUCAGAGGGAGAAUCUGACCCCAGGAGACACCCAGGACAUGGAGAAGAGACACUACACCUUCAGAAAAUGUUUUAUCAGCAGGGGCAGAGGAAGCAGCUCUAAGCCCAGACCAUCCCCAGGGCACAGUGUAAAAGCAGAGGAUGAUGAGGAAAGUGAGGUUUUGAGGACGGGCACAAACCGUAACCACCAGAGACAGGAGCCCUUCCCUCAAGAGCAGCUCCAUGCCCACUGUGGGAGUUGAGGAUCCCUUGCUGCACCUCUUUUAGGAUCAGCUGGCAGCACUGAAGGAGCCAUCCCGACUUACCCCUCGCUCCUGCCCGUCGCCCUCGGGGCCGUUCCGGCUCUGCAGCACGGACAACGGGAUUAGUUUAGCAUCGAUCUGCCGAGAGCAGCAUCCUGGGCACGGGCUGCGCACGCUGCCCGCGGCCGAGCGCCCACCGCCCCUCCCUGCCCACACCUCUCCCCAGCAGCAGAGUCCUCUGCAGAGCGUCCUGCCCCAUUCUGCCCCCAGAGCUGUCCAUAGGAGGGGACAAAAGCGGGUCUGACCCAAAUAAACCAUGAUCCAAGCAGGCA
rnacentral:lncRNA from 1 species